GUUCUUUUAGUAUCAAUCAGUACAAGUGACUUCCACUCACUAAGACUUAAUACCAAACUUAAGAAAGAACA
rnacentral:tRNA from 1 species